rnacentral:rRNA from 1 species
GAUUAACGCUGGCGGCGUGCAUAACACAUGCAAGUCGAACGAAGUGGCGGACGGGUGAGUAACGCGUGAGUAACCUGCCUUAGAGAAGGGGAUAGCCUUUGGAAACGAAGAAUAAUACCCUAUGCUCUAGGAUUGACUUGCGUCUGAUUAGUUAGUUGGUUGGGUAACGGCCCACCAAGACAGCGAUCAGUAGCCGGCUUGUGAGAUUGUACGGCCACAUUGGGACUGGGUCACGGCCCAGACUCUGCGGGAGGCAGCAGUGGGGAAUUUUGCACAAUGGGGGAAACCCUGAUGCAGCGACGCCGCGUAACGAAGAAGGUAUUCGUAUCGUAAAGUUCUGUCCUAUGGGAAGCAGUACCAUAGAAGAAAGCUCCGGCUAAAUACGUGCCAGCAGCCGCGGUAAUUC